UACGUAGGGGGCCAGCGUUGUUCGGAAUUACUGGGUGUAAAGGGUUCGUAGGCGGUGCGGCAAGUUCGGGAGUGAAAUCUCUGGGCUCAACCCAGAGACGGCUUCCAAAACUGCUGUGCUUGAGUGUGGGAGAGGCUCGUGGAAUUGCAGGUGUAGCGGUGAAAUGCGUAGAUAUCUGCAGGAACACCCGUGGCGAAAGCGGCGAGCUGGACCACUACUGACGCUGAAGAACGAAAGCUAGGGGAGCAAACAGG
rnacentral:rRNA from 1 species